GACGAACGCUGGCGGCGUGCCUAAUACAUGCAAGUCGAGCGGAUUGAUUCGGAGCUUGCUCCGAUGAUGUCAGCGGCGGACGGGUGAGUAACACGUGGGUAACCUGCCUGGCAGACUGGGAUAACGCUUGGAAACGAGUGCUAAUACCGGAUAAUCUCUUGGAUCGCAUGGUCUGAGAGUAAAAGGAGCUUUUGCUUCACUGCUAGAUGGACCCGCGGCGCAUUAGCUAGUUGGUGAGGUAAUGGCUCACCAAGGCGACGAUGCGUAGCCGACCUGAGAGGGUGACCGGCCACACUGGGACUGAGACACGGCCCAGACUCCUACGGGAGCAGCAGCAAGGAAUUUCGGCAAUGGCGCAAGCCUGACCGAGCAACG
rnacentral:rRNA from 1 species